CUCCACACGGAGCGUGGCCGCUUCAACGGCUCUACUCGGGGGCGUUUCGGUGGAAGACAUCUGCGCGGCUGCGUCUUGGUCUUCCCCCGGCCCCUUUGUCCGUUUUUACAUGUUAGACAGGGGUUCACUCGGCAACUCUGUGCUGGAGUCCGGGACCCCUUUUACGGCUUAAGAAUAUAGACAUGUUCUUUAAAGCGGCGUGGUUGGAUUUCCUCUCGCCGGCUGGCGAGUUGGACUUGACUACCAGUCUUAUUCUGCCAUCGUUUUUCAAAUGAAAAACAGGCUAGGGGGUUUUUCUAUUGGCCCGCCAAUUGUCAGGUGUUUUUUUGUUUGCCAGUAUGGCACUCCCGCCGUAUCUUUCAAAUAAGAAACGGCCGAGAGAGACCACUUAUUGGAGAGUCGGAAUCCGUAGCUCCGCCCCCGGUGGUAGCGGACCUAAUGGAAACCGUAUUGCUCUGGUUUUUCUUUUCCUUUUCAUGGGUUCCAUGAAGCACGGAUUAGAGCCGGAGUCUUUACAGACUCACUUUUUUCUCUCUUGAUCAUUGCCUUGCUUGAUCUAGGAGGAAUUCGUUUUUUAUUAAGCUGUUGUGUUUUACACAUCCUUGGCUUUUUGAGUCUUAAUGUGUUCUGGUGACUUAGGUCUUUUUGACUGGGGUCCAGCAGGAGUACAUUGAUCGGGCUCCGCUCGCAGCUUCACCUUAGCCCAUAAGGCGAAGCCUAGAAGGCGUAGCCUACAUAAAAUAGAACGAUAGUUAUGUUAUUAUAACUCUAGUUCUAUGAUUGUAGGCGCAGCCGUCUAGUUUCCCACCUGCUGUACCCUCCAAAUGGUGAAAGAAAAGCGUGGAGGAUGAGCGACGGUAUACACCGCAUUAUAUAGACACGAUACCGUGGGAAAUGUGGGCGGUACCCACGCUGAUUGGUGCAUAGUUUGAAAUUUUCACGGGACAUGCCCAUAAGGCGAAGCCUAGACGGCUACGCCUACAAUCAUAGAACUAGAGUUAUAAUAACAUAACUAUCGUUCUCCAGGCCCUAGUGCAGGGCGAACCCAAUUCGCCAAAAGGAAGGGCGUGGCUACUCAGGCUAGCAGAAAGGACUUUCUGAAGCCAAACCUCUCCCAUGUAGGCUACUUAAGUUCUUACGUCGUUAAGUCAGAUCAGAGUCAGGUCAUUCUGCCUCAUCCGACACCAUGGGUAAUUCUCCCCCAUCACCCAGACUCAGACCCAGCCCCUGGGGCUUCGAGGUCACAGUGAUCGGACCGCACGGAGAGAGUACAACAAUCUACCUGUGUGACACUGAAGAACAGAUGGAGGCGAUCACAGUUCGGCAGCUCAAGUCGAGGAUAACCACUGCCAGGCUGAGGUCAGUGGUCAUGUGGCACAGCAUCGUCCUGAUUUUCGAUUUCAAAGUAAUGGCUGACGAGAGGACCUUGGUCUCUUAUGGAGUUGGAAACAAGUCCGUGAUCCGAAUGAGUUAUACGAGACCAUUCCCGGGCCCGGGUCUUCCCCCCACUAGACACGCAUAGUAUUGGUCGUCCGAUGUUCUAGCCUACAUUAUGAAUGAUUGUCAUCGUCGGCUUUGUACUUGUUGGAUGACUUUAUGUCGUAUUAAACCGAAUGCCUGGACAAUA